CCUACGGGAGGCAGCAGUGGGGAAUAUUGGACAAUGGGCGAAAGCCUGAUCCAGCAAUGCCGCGUGAGUGAUGAAGGCCUUCGGGUCGUAAAGCUCUUUUACCAGGGAUGAUAAUGACAGUACCUGGAGAAUAAGCUCCGGCUAACUCCGUGCCAGCAGCCGCGGUAAUACGGAGGGAGCUAGCGUUGUUCGGAAUUACUGGGCGUAAAGAGUACGUAGGCGGUUAUUCAAGUCAGAGGUGAAAGCCCGGGGCUCAACCCCGGAACUGCCUUUGAAACUAGAUAACUAGAGUCUUGGAGAGGUUAGUGGAAUUCCGAGUGUAGAGGUGAAAUUCGUAGAUAUUCGGAAGAACACCAGUGGCGAAGGCGACUAACUGGACAAGUACUGACGCUGAGGUACGAAAGCGUGGGGAGCAAACAGGAUUAGAUACCCCGGUAGUCCACGCCGUAAACGAUGAUAACUAGUUGUUCGGUCACUUGGUGACUGAGUGACGCAGCUAACGCAUUAAGUUAUCCGCCUGGGGAGUACGGUCGCAAGAUUAAAACUCAAAAGGAAUUGACGGCUGAGACNGCGACGACGACACGAGGAGAG
rnacentral:rRNA from 1 species